GCAAAUUCUUCCUUGAUUAUCAUUUCUCCUCUUUUGGAAGGAAAGUAAUUCUCUUUUCUUUUUCAUAAUUAAAGAAGAAAACAAUACAAGAGAAUUCUGAAUUCUCUCUCUAUGUAUUUGAGACUUUGACAGAUGAAGUCUUCUUCUCCUUCUCCAUCUCCUUCUUCUCUUUUUCUAUAUAGCAAAAAGAACAGAUGCCUCAGCAUGGGGAGGCUGGUUCCUUUCUUCUUGUCUUCUCUGGGUUUAACAACUAUUUUCUGCUUGUUCAUUCUUUAUUCGCCAAACCCUUUUAGGUCAAUUCUUAAACAUAAUGACCCAAAUCAAAAGCUCCUCGUGAUCAAGCCAGAAAAGGAGAAGGAGAAUUGCGACUUGUAUAAGGGUGAGUGGAUACCAGACCUUGAAGGGUCUAAAUAUACAAAUUCAAGCUGUGCAACAAUUCCCAAUUCAAAGAACUGUUUCAGGAAUGGAAGGAAAGAUACAGAUUUCCUUAAUUGGAGAUGGAAACCAGAGAAAUGUGAUGUUCCAAGGAUUGAUCCCAAGGCCUUCUUGGAAAUUGUUCGAGGAAAAACACUGGCAUUCAUCGGUGACUCAGUUGCCAGGAACCACAUGGAAUCACUCCUUUGCCUCUUGUCACAGGCGGAAGUUCCAAUAGAUGCUUACAAGGACAAAGAUGACAGAAACAGAAUAUGGUACUUUCCUGCUCAUCAGUUCACUCUUAAAAUCCUAUGGACAAAAUUCCUGGUAGUCGGCGAGGAGAGAAAGAUCAACGAUUCUUCGUCUGGAAUUUUCGACUUGUAUCUGGACAAGGUUGAUGACAACUGGACUAGAGCUCUCCACACCAUUGAUUACAUUAUCAUCUCCGACGGACACUGGUUCUUCAGACCAAUAUACCUACAUAAAGGUUCAAAUGUUGUAGCAUGUAUCUACUGCAACGAACCAAAUGUGACUGAUCGAGGUGUUAGCUUUGCUGUGAGUAUGGCAUUUCGAGCUGCUUUGGGUCAUAUUAAUCACUGCAAGAAAUGCAAGGGCGUAGUCACAUUGUUGAGGACAUUCUCACCAUCCCAUUUUGAGAAUGGGUUUUGGAACACCGGAGGAAGCUGCAACAGGACAAGUCCUUUCAGUGAAAAGGAGAUUGACUAUGGAGCUCGUGAGUGGGAACUCAGGAACAUGCAGGUAGAGGAGAUUGAAAGAGCAAACAGGAAAAGAAAGGAAGGGAAGAGGUUUGAGGUUUUGGAUGUCACAAGGGCUAUGCUUAUGAGACCUGAUGGGCAUCCGGGAGAUUACUGGGGCAACAAAUGGAUGAAGGGUUAUAAUGACUGUGUUCAUUGGUGCUUGCCAGGUCCCAUUGAUUUGUGGAGCGAUUUGUUGCUGGCUGUUCUCAGGAGGCUGAGUUGAUGUCCUGGUCAAGAGAGGGAGUGUAAUUAGGUAAAAGAGUACACAUUUUAUAUAGUAAUACUGUCCAAUUGUUUUCUCGUCGGACAAUAAUUAUUCCGGCUCACAAACGUUCAAGCAUUACCAGCGGAGAUGGAAAUAAAUAACUAUGGCGUCGAAAGAUUGCUUUUGGUCCAUUAGCGUGUAUAUGAUAUAACAGAAGAUGAACAGAAGAUGAUCCAUAGGAAAUAACUAACUAUGACGUCGAAAGAUUGCUUUCGGUUCAUUAGUGUGUAUAUAAUAUAACAGAAGAUGAUCCAUAGGAAUAUAGUACAAUCAUAAUAAUAUACAUCAGAGAUUGACAUCUAUUCCUGAGUAAACGUCAAUCAAUUAAGGUCACAGAUCUCAGGUUGCAGUUCUACACUUUUAAUUUGUGCAGCUUCGCGGUCUAAAUUCACUUUGGAUGUAAAUACCUGUUGUGUUUCCAGCAAGCUCUAAAAUCUCUCAAAUUUAAAGCUAUAUUGAUGACAAUUGACUCUUGUCCCGACAUUUCAACCGUCAGAUAAAGGGAGAGCUACUAGGAAGGAAAAUGGUAAUUCCCCGUUAUGCAUACGGACUAUAAGAAAAAAAGAAAGAUGGAUGCAGCCUUUCUCAGAUCUCCACAACAAAGAAAAACUAGUCCAAUUAUUCUCCACGCCCCUCAUCAUCCAGAGGUAGACAAGAAGAUCAAAUGCCUGACAAUUCCAGAGCAGUAGGUUUAGCCUGGAGUGGCCUAAUGAUUGCCAUCACAUGAUAAAAGAACCUAGCUAUGCAGACCAAGCUAAUUCUAUGGGAAGAAAUGGACUCGCAAGCUUACAUUAAAUGGGAUGCUAUGUAUUAGGCAAUGCAUGGAAGCCUGUAGAAUUAAUUGAUAAUGCAGGGGGUUAAAAAGAAACAAAGAAAAUAAGUUAGGCACACUCCUCAAAUCUUGCACGAAAAUAAAGGAAGCAGACUCUUCCUUCUGGAUGUCCCUUCGUACCAGUACACAGACACAAUCUAGAUCCAUAUCGGCU
rnacentral:misc_RNA from 1 species